AACGAACGCUGGCGGCAGGCCUAACACAUGCAAGUCGAGCGGAUGAAGAGAGCUUGCUCUCUGAUUUAGCGGCGGACGGGUGAGUAAUGCCAAGGAAUCUGCCUGGUAGUGGGGGAUAACGUUCCGAAAGGAACGCUAAUACCGCGUAUGUCCUACGGGAGAAAGCAGGGGACCUUCGGGCCUUGCGCUAUCAGAUGAGCCUAGGUCGGAUUAGCUAGUUGGUGAGGUAAUGGCUCACCAAGGCGACGAUCCGUAACUGGUCUGAGAGGAUGAUCAGUCACACUGGAACUGAGACACGGUCCAGACUCCUACGGGAGGCAGCAGUGGGGAAUAUUGGACAAUGGGCGAAAGCCUGAUCCAGCCAUGCCGCGUGUGUGAAGAAGGUCUUCGGAUUGUAAAGCACUUUAAGUUGGGAGGAAGGGCAGUAAGUUAAUACCUUGCUGUUUUGACGUUACCGACAGAAUAAGCACCGGCUAACUUCGUGCCAGCCGCCGCGGUAACAC
rnacentral:rRNA from 1 species